AAUGAGCUUGGUGAUUCAUAAUAACUUUACGGAUCGCAUCUCUGAUGCGACAUAUCAUUCAAGUUUCUGACCUAUCAGCUUUAGACGGUAGGGUAUUGGCCUACCGUGGCUAUGACGGGUAACGGGGAAUUAGGGUUCGAUUCCGGAGAGGGAGCCUGAGAAACGGCUACCACAUCUAAGGAAGGCAGCAGGCGCGCAAAUUACCCAAUCCUGGCACAGGGAGGUAGUGACAAGAAAUAACAAUACAGGGCCUAACGGUCUUGUAAUUGGAAUGAGUGAAGUAUAAACCCCUUUACGAGUAUCAAUUGGAGGGCAAGUCUGGUGCCAGCAGCCGCGGUAAUUCCAGCUCCAAUAGCGUAUAUUAAAGUUGUUGCAGUUAAAAAGCUCGUAGUUGGAUUUCUGUUGUAUAAUUUUAUAAUAUUACCAAGGUAAUUAUUAUAUUAUCAACAUCCUUCCUAUUAUAUUCUAAAUAUAUAGGAAAUUUUACUUUGAGAAAAUUAGAGUGCUUAAAGCAGGCAACUGCCUUGAAUACUCCAGCAUGGAAUAAUAAGUAAGGACUUUUGUCUUUCUUAUUGGUUCUAGGACAAAAGUAAUGGUUAAUAGGGACAGUUGGGGGCAUUCGUAUUUAACAGCCAGAGGUGAAAUUCUUAGAUUUGUUAAAGACGAACUACUGCGAAAGCAUUUGCCAAGGAUGUUUUCAUUAAUCAAGAACGAAAGUUAGGGGAUCGAAGACGAUCGGAUACCGUCGUAGUCUUAACCAUAAACUAUGCCGACUAGAGAUUGGAGGUUGU
rnacentral:rRNA from 1 species